AUGCUCACUUCAGCAACACAUGUACUAAAAUUGGAAUGAUACAAAGAAGUUUAGCCUUCUUGCAAGGAUGUCACACAGAUUCCUGAGGCAUUCUAUAGUUUU